CAUCCUCUCAUGACAUCACUACCCCAACAACUUAAACUAAAGUAAGUGCAAGAAUGAAUAUAACUAAUCUUCAUUCCGACCCCUUUCCUUUUCCAUUAUCCUCCGACGGCUCCUUUCCUUUGCGGAAUGUUAAGUUCAACGAAUCAUCAACGUUUUGUUUGUUUGCAAUUCGAGCUAGACGUUCGAACAUGCCUGACAGCUCGUCGACUUCCUCAUUGGUAGUAGGAUUCAUCACUUCAUUAAUGGCACUCGACUCUGCACUCAUUCUUCCGUUGUUACCUAGUCAAAAAAUCCACAAGAGCUGCUGCAAGUUUUGAAAAGUCGCCCUUUGUUAUUGCCUUCCUUUUCAAUCUCAAAACAUUUUCGAAUUCCGAUUACACACCGUGGAUAACAAACUUUUCUCUUGCAAUCUUCGAAGUAGUGAUCGAAGCUU
rnacentral:lncRNA from 1 species